AAAAAAAAAUAUGGAAAAGGGUCAUCUGACCUGAGAAAAAAAGAAACAAAAAGAGAGGAUUUUCUCUUAAGGUUUUUCAUACAAAAACCAUGAUCUACAAAGAUUCAAUCGUCCAAACUCAAAUUCAAUUUUCGAAACAUGAUCUACGAAACCCGAUUUACGUUUCUACCAAUUGGUUUGAGGAUUUGUUGUGAGGAGCUUGCUAAACACUCUCCAAGUGUUGGAUUUACAUUUGGUGGAAUUUUUGUGAUGCAUUGUAUGGUGGUGUCUAGGAGACCCAGUGCUUAAAUACGCGCAGCCAAGUAUUUUGCAGGUCAUUGAGAGAAAACAAUAGCUUUAAGGUGAAAGAAAGCACACUUUGAGAAGACCUAGAGAAUGUGGGUAUGUUCAACCAAAUCAAGGAAAUGACUAAAUCGGAAUUUCUCUAAUCGGAAUCAAAAUCGGAUUAGAAUUCAGAUUCUGCACAUGUCACAGUAUUUUGGCCAUAACUUUCAGCUCAAGUAUUCGAUUAAGGUGAAUCAAGUGGCGUUGGAAAGCUAACUCAAUUUUCUACAAAUCCUUAUGAAAUAGGAUUUUACAAAUUCGGAUGUAUGCUAUGCCAAAAGUUCCAUGCAAUAAAAGGCCGCAAAUCUGGACGAAUUUGGAGUCCUUUUCCUUCUUGGAUUGUGUUUUGAGUCUCCUACUCAAACUAGGAGACUAACCUCCGAUUUUUCUAGGAAUUCUAGGGCUUCUAAGAUUUGUUUUCUCCCUAUAAAUAGACCUCUAAGGCUCAAGAAAAAGGGGAAGAAGCUAGAGACCAAAUACAUUCUUUUCUUUUUAGUUUAGUUUUUCUUUAGUUUAGGAUUUAUUUUUCAUAGCCAUGUGUAGCUAAUUUUUCAACUAAGGUUGAGGAUAAAGCCUCACCAUUGAAGAGCAACAAUAUUUUCAUGUAAG